GUCAGGAACCCCAUGCCUAAAGGCAGGGGCUUGCGUAAGUAAGCCUGGACCUGACCAGUCUCAGCCAGAGCAGACUUGAUGGAUAGAAUCAUCAAGGCUAUCGGGCUACGUUAGGAACGAAAUAGGUACGUUGGGGUGCUUUGCCGCUACG
rnacentral:sRNA from 21 species